CCCCAUUAACCACUCAUACAGGCUGGGCCCCAAAUGGCCCCCUAUGCCCUAUCUAGGGCUCUACCUUUGACCCGGGCCGUCUGGGGGGGACACUGUCACGCAUGACUUCCUAAAGUACACCGUGUGGGUGUAUAUAUACAUUAUGUUAACUAGUUUUAACUAGUGGUAGAAGCUGGGUAUAUAUACAUUAUGUUAACUAGUUUUAACUAGUGGUAGAAGCUGGGUGUAUAUACAUUAUAUUAACUAGUGGUAGAAGCUGGGUGUAUAUAUACAUUAUGUUAACUAGUUUUAACUAGUGGUAGAAGCUGGGUAUAUAUACAUUAUAUUAACUAGUGGUAGAAGCUGGGUGUAUAUAUACACAUUAUGUUAACUAGUUUUAACUAGUGGUAGAAGCUGGGUGUAUAUAUGCAUUAUGUUAACUAGUUUUAACUAGUGGUAGAAGCUGGGUGUAUAUACAUUAUAUUAACUAGUUUUAACUAGUGGUAGAAGCUGGGUAUAUGUACAUUAUAUUAACUAGUGGUAGAAGCUGGGUAUAUAUAUGCAUUAUAUUAACUAGUUUUAACUAGUGGUAGAAGCUGGGUAUAUGUACAUUAUAUUAACUAGUUUUAACUAGUGGUAGAAGCUGGGUAUAUAUGUACAUUAUGUUAACUAGUUUUAACUAGUGGUAGAAGCUGGGUAAAUAUACAUUAUAUUAACUAGUGGUAGAAGCUGGGUAUAUAUACAUUAUGUUAACUAGUUUUAACUAGUGGUAGAAGCUGGGUGUAUAUAUACAUUAUAUUAACUAGUUUUAACUAGUUUUAGAAGCUGGGUAUAUAUACAUUAUAUUAACUAGUUUUAACUAGUGGUAGAAGCUGGGUAUAUAUACAUUAUGUUAACUAGUUUUAACUAGUUUUAGAAGCUGGGUAUAUACACAUGUUAACUAGUUUUAACUAGUGGUAGAAGCUGGGUGUAUAUAUACAUUAUGUUAACUAGUUUUAACUAGUUUUAGAAGCUGGGUAUAUACACAUGUUAACUAGUUUUAACUAGUGGUAGAAGCUGGGUGUAUAUAUACAUUAUGUUAACUAGUGGUAGAAGCUGGGUGUAUAUAUACAUUAUAUUAACUAGUUUUAACUAGUGGUAGAAGCUGGGUGUAUAUAUACAUUAUGUUAACUAGUUUUAACUAGUGGUAGAAGCUGGGUAUAUACACAUGUUAACUAGUUUUAACUAGUGGUAGAAGCUGGGUGUAUAUAUACAUUAUGUUAACUAGUUUUAACUAGUGGUAGAAGCUGGGUGUAUAUAUACAUUAUAUUAACUAGUGGUAGAAGCUGGGUGUAUAUAUACAUUAUGUUAACUAGUUUUAACUAGUGGUAGAAGCUGGGUAUAUAUACAUGAUGUUAACUAGUUUUAACUAGUGGUAGAAGCUGGGUAUAUAUACAUUAUAUUAACUAGUGGUAGAGGCUGGGUAUAUAUACAUGAUGUUAACUAGUUUUAACUAGUGGUAGAAGCUGGGUAUAUAUACAUGAUGUUAACUAGUUUUAACUAGUGGUAGAAGCUGGGUAUAUAUACAUUAUGUUAACUA